AGGGGAUGUGGAAUAAAGAAAGCUCUUGGGUGCGGCCGAUGAGAGGGAAAGUGUGCCUAGUUGUGGGCGGAGCCCUGAUGGGGGAGUCUGGACACCUGGAUUUUCUGAUGCGGGCUGUGACCUUGGGCUAAACCUCACAGUUCCUAUGAUGUUUCCUGAAGGUUAAAGCUUAAGGUUGAAGUUGCCUGUAAAAAUAUUAUUUCAGAACUCUCCUCCUUUUUCCUGUCAAAGGUGGCAGAAGAAAGUCAGAACAACUGAAAGGCCUCUUGAGCCCACAGCCAACCCUGGCUCCACAUCCUCUUAAUUUCUUUCGGAAUUAACCUCCAACCAGGCAAGGUCAUUUGAGGUGGUUCCAAGACUUUCUUCCAGUCACCUCUUAGAGCUGUUGUUCACUGGAAUCACCAAAGCUCUGUGCACUGCAAAGUCCUUGAAGAUCUUGCUAAAGCCACCAUACUGUCAUCAGUGGGGUUUACAUGUGAAUCUUCUGUCUCCUCAACAACUGCAAACUCUUAGAAGGCACGGUAAGAAGCUAACUGUCACAAUAAAUAUUCAUAUGGCCUGAUGUCUUGUUUAAUUGGCUGUCACAGUGAUUCAUAUGGUCAAGUGUAUUCAUCACAAAGAAAAUGGAUCAUCACAAUAUUUGAAAGAAGAAAUCACAUCGAUAGACUUUUUUGUUGUUGUUAUUGAACUCUCAAACGAGAGUAAAUUAAACCAAAGAGAGCACAUAACAUUUUAAUGCAAAAUAUUUUCUUACUAUAUAUGAUAGACAUUUGAUCAAAGUGGAGAUGAAAGGAAAUUGAUCACUGGAAUUUUAUUACUCAGACAGUUUUUAAAAAAUAAAGAUUCUUACCCUUAUCAAGACUUCAGUAUACAAAAUUUGUUAAAGCUACUCCUAAGGUGACACCUAGUUCCACAAUUAGGCACAAGUCUUCCUAAAGUAUCUUAAGCAGUACUUCAGGAGAACACAUUUUCACAGGUACCAUAACAUCCAAAAACAAGACAAAACCAGACAAAACGAAUAGUAGCCAGGAGCACAAUGGAUAGUAGGAAUGUAGCAAAUUUUAGUUUAAGCAAAACUUCAUAUUUUCUGCUUUCUCUGUAUUAUUAUUCUAUAAGCCAAAAUCGAAUUUUACUAACAAUUAUAUUUUUAAAUCUGAAACUUAAGUUAUAUUAUUUUAAUGACCCAAUUUUAAAUUAUGUAUCUGUCUCUAAUUGAGAUUUUUAAAGUUGGACAUUCUUUCUAUUUUUUAAUUGACCGUGGACCAACUAUAGCAAGUGAUUCACCAGUGUGGUUUCAAAAUAAAAUAAUGUAUCACUUUAUGAGAGGGGUUGGAAACCUGGUAUAUAAUGAUAGGUGAGCUUGUUUAAAUUCCUAGUAUCUAAACUUUUACUUUUUAUAAAGAGUUAUUUACUCACAGGUUGUAGAACUUUAUAAUUUUCUGAGGGAGUUCUGAGAUUUUUAAGUGGUAACUUAUCUAUAUUUUCUGUUCAUAUUAAACAUAGAAAUCUGUUGACUUGGCAUAGCUGUGUAAUUAAUCAGUAUAUUUAUCUGCUUGAGAGUCUGCAUUGAAUCAAUAUUGAGAAUUUUGCCAAGCUAAAAAUUUUUAAUGAGUAUAUUAAUGGCAAAUGUCUAUCAGAUGAAAAGCAACUUUAUUUUCACAAAGAAACCAAACUAACACAUAAACUAAAAGAUCAACAUCAGAAUGAUAGUUAAUGUAUCUUUGUUCUAUAUUCUAUAGACCACUGACUACUAGGGUAAAAACUAGGCUUCUAUAUCAUGUCUUAGAAAUAUCUUCAGAUCCAGUUUUGAUACACAACUGCCAUAGAAUGAAUGUAUGUAACUCUCCACCCAAAUUCAUAUAUUGAAUUCUUAACCCCUGAGGUAUUAGGAACUGAGGCCUUUGGGAUGUUUUAACAUCACGAAUGUAAUUAAUGCCCUUAUAAAAGAGAGCCCAGAGAGCUUCCUCUCCCCUCUCACCAUGUGAGGACACAGAAGAAAAUGGCCAUUUAUGAACUAGGAAGUUGGUCCUCACCAGACACAGGGUCUUGGUGCCUUAACCUUGGACUUUCCACCCUCCAGAACUGUGAGAAGUAAAUGUUUGUUGUUCAAACCA